GUCUGAGUGGCUCAGUUGGUUAGAGCGUUGGUCUCAUAUUCAGUAUGACUCGGUGGAUCAAACCCCGGGAAUACCAAUCCAAAGGUCGUGAGUUCGAGUCUCACCUCGGACA